GACAGAGGGUGCAAACGUUGUUCGGAAUUACUGGGCAUAAAGCGCGCGUAGGCCGUUCGCUAAGUCAGGUGUGAAAGCCCCCGGCUCAACCGGGGAAUUGCAUUUGAUACUGGCGAGCUUGAGGAUGAGAUGGGUGGGCGGAACUCCAGGUGGAGCGGUGAAAUGCGUAGAUAUCUGGAGGAACACCGGUGGCGAAAGCGGCCCACUGGACCAUCACUGACGCUGAGGCGCGAAAGCUAGGGUAGCAAACGGGAUUAGAUACCCCGGUAGUCCUAGCCAUAAACGAUGGGCACUAGGUAGGGGAAGCACCUAUGUCUUCCUCUGCCGGAGCUAAUGUAUUAAGUGCCCCGCCUGGGGAGUACGCUCGCAAGGGUAAA
rnacentral:rRNA from 1 species